UACGUAGGGGGCUAGCGUUAUCCGGAAUUACUGGGCGUAAAGGGCGCGUAGGUGGUUUCUUAAGUCAGAGGUGAAAGGCUACGGCUCAACCGUAGUAAGCCUUUGAAACUGGGGAACUUGAGUGCAGGAGAGGAGAGUGGAAUUCCUAGUGUAGCGGUGAAAUGCGUAGAUAUUAGGAGGAACACCAGUUGCGAAGGCGGCUCUCUGGACUGUAACUGACACUGAGGCACGAAAGCGUGGGGAGCAAACAGG
rnacentral:rRNA from 1 species